CGAAGGGGGCGAGCGUUGUUCGGAAUCACUGGGCGUAAAGCGUGCGUAGGUGGCGAGGAAAGUUAGAAGUGAAAGCCCAGGGCUCAACCUUGGAAUUGCUUUUAAAAACUCCCUCGCUUGAAUCUCGGAGAGGAUAGCGGAAUUGUCAGUGUAGCAGUGAAAUGCGUAGAUAUUGACAGGAACACCGGUGGCGUAAGCGGCUAUCUGGACGAGUAUUGACACUGAGGCACGAAAGCGUGGGGAUCAAACAGGAUUAGAUACCCUGGUAGUCCACGCUGUAAACGAUGUGUGCUUGUCGCUGGGGAGUUUACUCUUUCGGUGACGGAGCUAACGCGUUAAGCACACCGCCUGGGAAGUACGGUCGCAAGAUUA
rnacentral:rRNA from 1 species